rnacentral:rRNA from 1 species
CCUACGGGUGGCUGCAGUAAGGAAUAUUGGUCAAUGCCCGGAAGGGUGAACCAGCCAUGCCGCGUGCAGGAUGACGGCCCUAUGGGUUGUAAACUGCUUUUGGAUAGGAAGAAUGGAUUGUCUUGAUAUGAUUUUGACGGUACUAUCAGAAUAAGCACCGGCUAACUCCGUGCCAGCAGCCGCGGUAAUACGGAGGGUGCGGGAAUUAUCCGGAAUUACUGGUGUUAAGGGGUGCGUAUGCGGCUGUAUUGAAAGCAUGGAGCUUAACUGCAUAAUUGCCUUCGAUACUGUAAAGCUGGAAUGAAGUUGAGGUUGGCGGAAUGUGACAUGUAGCGGUGAAAUGCAUAGAUAUGGCAUAGAACACCGAUUGCGUAGGCAGCUGACUGAGCUUAAAUUGACGCUGAGGCACGAAAGCGUGGGGAGCGAACAGGAUUAGAUACCCCAGUAGUC